AUUGAACGCUGGCGGCAUGCCUUACACAUGCAAGUCGAACGGCAGCACGGGUGAUUGCACCUGGUGGCGAGUGGCGAACGGGUGAGUAAUACAUCGGAACAUGUCCUGUAGUGGGGGAUAGCCCGGCGAAAGCCGGAUUAAUACCGCAUACGAUCCACGGAUGAAAGCGGGGGACCUUCGGGCCUCGCGCUAUAGGGUUGGCCGAUGGCUGAUUAGCUAGUUGGUGGGGUAAAGGCCUACCAAGGCGACGAUCAGUAGCUGGUCUGAGAGGACGACCAGCCACACUGGGACUGAGACACGGCCCAGCCUCCUGCGGGAGGCAGCAGUGGGGAAUUUUGGACAAUGGGCGAAAGCCUGAUCCAGCAAUGCCGCGUGUGUGAAGAAGGCCUUCGGGUUGUAAAGCACUUUUGUCCGGAAAGAAAUCCUUGACUCUAAUACAGUCGGGGGAUGACGGUACCGGAAGAAUAAGCACCGGCUAACUACGUG
rnacentral:rRNA from 1 species